rnacentral:rRNA from 1 species
GACGAACGCUGGCGGCGUGCUUAACACAUGCAAGUCGAGCGGUAAGGCCCUUUCGGGGGUACACGAGCGGCGAACGGGUGGGUAACACGUGGGUGACCUGCCUUUAGCUCUGGGAUAAGCCUGGGAAACUGGGUCUAAUACCGGAUAUGACCCUAUGGCGCAUGUUGUGGGGUGGAAAGCCUUGUGCGGCUAGGGAUGGGCCCGCGGCCUAUCAGCUUGUUGGUGGGGUGAUGGCCUACCAAGGCGACGACGGGUAGCCGGCCUGAGAGGGCGACCGGCCACACUGGGACUGAGACACGGCCCAGACUCCUACGGGAGGCAGCAGUGGGGAAUCUUGCGCAAUGGGCGAAAGCCUGACGCAGCGACGCCGCGUGAGGGAUGACGGCC